rnacentral:tRNA from 1 species
GCCGGGGUGAUGGAAUGGUAGACAUUCACGACUCAAAAUCGUGCGGGGGUAACCCCAUGGGAGUUCAAGUCUCCCCCCCGGCA